rnacentral:rRNA from 1 species
GACGAACGCUGGCGGCGUGCUUAACACAUGCAAGUCGAACGGAAAGGCCCUGCUCUUGUGGGGUGCUCGAGUGGCGAACGGGUGAGUAACACGUGAGUAACCUGCCCUUGACUUUGUGAUAACUUCAGGAAACUGGGGCUAAUACCGGAUAGAAGCUCCUGCUGCAUGGUGGGGGUUGGAAAGUUUCGGCGGUUGGGGAUGGACUCGCGGCUUAUCAGCUUGUUGGUGGGGUAGUGGCUUACCAAGGCUUUGACGGGUAGCCGGCCUGAGAGGGUGACCGGCCACAUUGGGACUGAGAUACGGCCCAGACUCCUACGGGAGGCAGCAGUGGGGAAUAUUGCACAAUGGGCGGAAGCCUGAUGCAGCAACGCCGCGUGCGGGAUGACGGCCUUCGGGUUGUAAACCGCUUUCGCCUGUGACGAAGCGUGAGUGACGGUAAUGGGUAAAGAAGCACCGGCUAACUACGUG